CAGCAGCCGCGGUAACACCGAGGGUGCGAGCGUUAAUCGGAUUUACUGGGCGUAAAGCGUGCGUAGGCGGCUUUUUAAGUCGGAUGUGAAAUCCCUGAGCUUAACUUAGGAAUUGCAUUCGAUACUGGGAAGCUAGAGUAUGGGAGAGGAUGGUAGAAUUCCAGGUGUAGCGGUGAAAUGCGUAGAGAUCUGGAGGAAUACCGAUGGCGAAGGCAGCCAUCUGGCCUAAUACUGACGCUGAGGUACGAAAGCAUGGGGAGCAAACAGGAUUAGAUACCCCUGUAGUCCCUGUCUCUUAUAC
rnacentral:rRNA from 1 species